rnacentral:lncRNA from 1 species
UGUUGGGGCUGCUGGGUAAUAAGAUACACUGGCUUCGGAAUAACUUGCUGGACAAUGUGACGGUGUGUGAGAGAGAGAUCAUCUUGGUAUUCCAUGAUAUGUGGUAAUAAUCCAUCACUGCAGUUGAUUGCCAGCUAUCGUCAUUCAUCACAUACGCAAAUGCAGAAUAUAAUCAUUGGUGGUCUUCCUGUCUGGGUUGGCGCCCCCCCCUUGGGUUGUGCCAUGGCGGAGAUCGUUGUGGGCUAUACUCGGCCUUGUCUUAGGACGGACCUGAGCCCUAGGACCAUGCCUCAGGACUACCUGGUAUGAUGACUCCUUGCUGUCCCCAGUCCACCUGGCCGUGCUGCUGCUCCAGUUUCAACUGUUCUGCCUGCGGCUAUGGAACCCUGACCUGUUCACCGGACGUGCUUGUUGCACCCUCGACAACUACUAUGAUUAUUAUUAUUUGACCAUGCUGGUCAUUUAUGAACAUUUUAACAUUUUAACAUCUUGACCAUGUUCUGUUAUAAUAUCCACCCUGCACAGCCAGAAGAGGACUGGCCACCCCUCAUAGCCUGGUUCCUCUCUAGGUUUCUUCCUAGGUUUUUGGCCUUUCUAUGGAGUUUUUCCUAGGGAGUUUUUCCUAGCCACCGUGCUUCUUUCACAUGCUUUGCUUGCUGUUUGGGGUUUUAGGCUGGGUUUCUGUACAGCACUUUGAGAUAUCAGCUGAUGUACGAAGGGCUAUAUAAAAAUGCA